AUACGUAGGUGGCAAGCGUUGUCCGGAUUUGCUGGGUGUAAAGGGCGUGUAGGCGGAGAUGCAAGUCAGGAGUGAAAUCUAGGGGCUCAACCCCUAAACUGCUUUUGAAACUGUAUCCCUUGAGUAUCGGAGAGGCAGGCGGAAUUCCUAGUGUAGCGGUGAAAUGCGUAGAUAUUAGGAGGAACACCAGUGGCGAAGGCGGCCUGCUGGACGACAACUGACGCUGAGGCGCGAAAGCGUGGGGAGCAAACAGGAUUAGAUACCCUGGUAGUCCACGCUGUAAACGAUGAAUACUAGGUGUGGGGGGACUGACCCCCUCCGUGCCGCAGUUAACACAAUAAGUAUUCCACCUGGGGAGUACGAUCGCAAGAUUGAAACUCAAAUGAAUUGACGGGG
rnacentral:rRNA from 1 species